rnacentral:miRNA from 1 species
UGGUUUACUUACUACAAAUCCCAAGAUGCAGUGCAGUUUUUUGCCUAGCUCCAGAAUAGAGCAUUGCAUGCUGGGACCUGUAGUUGAUUUUAACAGCA